rnacentral:rRNA from 1 species
GACGAACGCUGGCGGCGUGCUUAACACAUGCAAGUCGAACGAAGCACCUUAUUCUGAUUUCUUCGGAAUGAAAAAUUUGGUGACUGAGUGGCGGACGGGUGAGUAACGCGUGAGGAACCUGCCUCAAAGAGGGGGACAACAGUUGGAAACGACUGCUAAUACCGCAUAAGCCCACGGUGCCGCAUGGCACAGAGGGAAAAGGAGUAAUCCGCUUUGAGAUGGCCUCGCGUCCGAUUAGCUAGUUGGUGAGGUAACGGCCCACCAAGGCGACGAUCGGUAGCCGGACUGAGAGGGUGAUCGGCCACAUUGGGACUGAGACACGGUCCAAACUCCUACGGGAGGCAGCAGUGGGGAAUAUUGCACAAUGGGGGAAACCCUGAUGCAGCAACGCCGCGUGAGUGAAGAAGUAUUUCGGAUGUAAAGCUCUAUCAGCAGGAAAGAAAAUGACGGUACCUGACUAAGAAGCCCCGGNUAACUACGUGCCAGCAGCCGC